rnacentral:rRNA from 1 species
AUACAGAGGUGGCAAGCGUUGUUCGGAAUUACUGGGCGUAAAGGGCGCGUAGGUGGCCUUUUGAGUCAGACGUGAAAUCCCCAGGCUUAACUUGGGAACUGCGUCUGAUACUGGAAGGCUCGAGUUCGGGAGAGGGAUGUGGAAUUCCAGGUGUAGCGGUGAAAUGCGUAGAUAUCUGGAGGAACACCGGUGGCGAAGGCGGCAUCCUGGACCGAAACUGACACUGAGGCGCGAAAGCCAGGGGAGCAAACG